rnacentral:lncRNA from 1 species
GAAACAGCUGCCAAGUUGCUAAUGCUAUUAAAAAUAGUGCUUGCUCCCUAAAAAAUGAAUUGCUUAUUUUAAGAAGACAAGAGUGGCUUGAAUCUGUCCUGCUUGCGUUUUUCAUCUCCUGGGCACAGUGCCAGUGAAUCAGAGAAGGCCUGCCUGUCAGAUGGGAAUGCCAUCUGUAAGGAUGGGGCCAGGCCUAUGCAGGAGCCAGCGUUUGUGGGCCUGGGCUGAGCGAGGCAUGCUUGUGUCCGGAGAAAUCUACUUGUAAUUCUGGGAACCAGAAGAAGAAGGCAAUUUAGCAGAGAAGAUUGAGGCUGUGAUGUUUCCCGGGUGAGAGGGUCUCCAUAUAGUUAGUGUCGGUGGAGUCAGGGUUAGACUCUCAACCUGGAAAUGCAGGUCCCAAGGGCCUUUCCCUGUAUGCAAGAAGAAAGCAAUUGCUAAAGCCUCUUCCUAAACUUUGGCUCCUGCAACCACUUAACACAGUUUCCUCCCCUAUGACCUUCUGCAAGGGAGAAGGGAGGUGUGGAUGUGAAAGCUCAGACAGGAGUGUUGAGAUGAGAAGAAAGAAGCACAGAGGAUGGCAGCACCAGCCUGACUUCCUUUGAGUCCAGAGCUUUGGUGCAGGCACCACACACAACCGUGUGAUGGCUCCUCAAAGGAUGAGCUAGCAUCUCCACAGCACCCAGCAAUCCCAUGUCCCAGUAUUUAUCCAAAAGAAUGGAAAGCAGAGAUUCAAAUGGGUAUCUGUUCACCAUGCACAGAAGCAUUGUUCCCAACAGCAAAAAAGGUAGAAACAAUCAUCAGUGUGCACUGAUGGAUGAAUGGAUAAACAAAGCGUGAUGUAUAUAUGCAAUAGAAUAUUGUUCAGCCUUGAAAUGGAGCAAAAUUCUCACGCAUAGAUGAAACUUAGAGAUGUUAUGCUAAGUGAAAUAAGCUGGGCAUAAAAGGACAAAUGUUGGGUAAGUCACCUAUAUGAGAGAUCAAAAGUAGGUAAAUUCAUAGUGACAGAAAGUGGAAUGGGGCAGCCAGGAGCCAAGGAAUGAAGACAAUGAGGAGUAGUGUUCAAGGGCGCCGAGUUUUUGUUUGGGAUGAUGAAAAACUUCUGGAGAUGGCCGGUGGUGAUGGCUGCAGAACGGUGUGAAUGUACUUAUGCGGUGGAACAGUACACUUAGGAAUGACUACCGUGGUAGACUUCGAUGCAAUGUAUAUAUCAUCACAGUAAAGGAAGUGAGAAGCUUGCUGGGCUGUGAACCAAAAUGAAAUCAGUGUAGUUCUGGGAAGAACCAGUUACUCUGGGAAUAGUGAUCUCAGGAGGGCUGAAGUUAGACCCCACUCGAGAAGCCGUUCCUCAGCAUCGGAUCCUACAGUGUCUAAUUCAGAUCCUGGGCGCCACGUGGAGCACCGAGCCCAGCACACGGUCAGCAUAACAAGCACAAGUGUUGGUUCUCCAUCUGCAUUAAUAUUUUUAUGUAGAAAGCUAACUGCAUUUGACCAUUUAUACACAGAUUCUGUUUUUAUCAAAUUACCCCUUUAAUAAAAAAGUUUUUAUAUAAAAUUUAGAAAAGAAGUAAAAAAUAAACUCAAAGUCAUAAACGAUCUGAUCAAG